rnacentral:lncRNA from 1 species
CCCGGCGGGUGCCUUCUUGUCGUAGGCGCCCGGCGCGUAAGGGUGCGCCACCAUCUCGUACGGCACGUACGGCCACGGCUCCACCCGCUUCCCCGUCUUGUACGCCACCCGCCGCAUCACCUUGCCGGCGUCCACGUACCCCGUCACCGUCACCUUGUUCUGCUUCGCCGUCACCUCCACUGAGCUCACCCCUUUCAUGUCCUCCAGUGCUUUCUUCACCUUCCUCUCGCAGCCUUCGCAGUCGAUCCGUACCUUCAUCUCCACCGUCUGCAUGCGUGUAUCAGGUUUUCAAGGUCAGGUCAGGUCAGUUUGUUGGGAUUUUGAAGAGAAACAGAUCAAGAUUCAUCAGAAGUA